GCGGACGUGGCGAAAUUGGUAGACGCACGGGACUUAAAAUCCCUCGCCCAUUGGGUGUGCGGGUUCGAGUCCCGCCGUCCGCACCA
rnacentral:tRNA from 2 species